GAUGAAGAACGCAGCGAAAUGCGAUAAGUAAUGUGAAUUGCAGAAUUCAGUGAAUCAUCGAAUCUUUGAACGCACAUUGAGCCCGUCAGUAUUCUGGCGGGCAUGCCUGUUCGAGCGUCAUUACGCCCCUCAAGUCCCCUGUGGACUUGGUGUUGGGGAUCGGCGAGGCUGGUUUUCCAGCACAGCCGUCCCUUAAAUUAAUUGGCGGUCUCGCCGUGGCCCUCCUCUGCGCAGUAGUAAAACACUCGCAACAGGAGCCCGGCGCGGUCCACUGCCGUAAAACCCCCCAACUUUUUAUAGUUGACCUCGAAUCAGGUAGGACUACCCGCUGAACUUAAGCAUAUCAAUAAGCGGAGGA
rnacentral:misc_RNA from 1 species